AAUAUUGGACAAUGGGCGCAAGCCUGAUCCAGCCAUGCCGCGUGCAGGAAGACUGCCCUAUGGGUUGUAAACUGCUUUUGUACGGGAAGAAACACCCCCUCGUGAGGGGGCUUGACGGUACCGUAAGAAUAAGGAUCGGCUAACUCCGUGCCAGCAGCCGCGGUAAUACGGAGGAUCCGAGCGUUAUCCGGAAUCAUUGGGUUUAAAGGGUCCGUAGGUGGAUUGGUAAGUCAGAGGUGAAAGCCUGCAGCUCAACUGUAGAACUGCCUUUGAUACUGCUAGUCUUGAGUCGUUGUGAAGUGGUUAGAAUAUGUAGUGUAGCGGUGAAAUGCAUAGAUAUUACAUAGAAUACCAAUUGCGAAGGCAGAUCACUAACAACGUACUGACACUGAUGGACGAAAGCGUGGGGAGCGAACAGG
rnacentral:rRNA from 1 species